GGCACGCUUAUGACCUUUCCCCUCUUUUUUUUUUCCUUCAGUCUUAGGAAUUAGUGAUGGGCUAGAUAGUAGUUCCUGGAGAGGGAGAUGAUAAUCCUUUUUGAGAUAAAGGAACUGGGUGGAAUCUGAACUGCCUCUAGAGCUGUAUUUCCAGUCUUGCGAGGAUUUUCCAAGGACAGUUGGAAGUUACUGGGUUUAACUUAAUGACAUUCUAGAUUGACCUACUUGUCCAACUACAUCACAAAGGCACAGAGAAACUCCUCAAGUUUUCUCCAAGCUGGAGUUUCUGGGGCAUAAACCAUCCAAUUGAAAGCGUAUCCAAUUGGUUAAAAUGCACCCAGGGGGCGAGACUCUGGGGAUGGUUGAGGCAUUCCCCAUGGUAGUAAAGCUGGUGUCUGACUGACAGCAGCCAGAGAAAGGGUGCAAAGGCCGAUUGCGGGUGUUGACAUAGCUAUAAGAUUUAGUCAAGUCCCGCUCAGCCUGGGCACUUUGUCUCCGAGCCAGCACAGUUGAGGUAGGGAAGCAGGAGGCAAAGGCCUGGAACUGGCUGGAGGCUGGGGCUCCCAGAUCCAGGUUUGAGAGUUAAAUCCCUGGCAAAAGGCUUAUUUUUCCAAUUUUACAGAAGGUCAAGGUUCUGCUCAGGUCUAGCCUGAACUUAACCUCGACUUGGUUACAACAGAAGAGAUGAGCAAAACAGACAAAGAACGGAAAAGAAGAGAUCAGACCUCACCCUCAUGGCCUCUUCCAGAGGGUUAUCAAGAUAAGAGUCACACAACAGUUCCUGUGCUGGGGCACACUACGCUAGCAUGACAGUUCACAGAAUAAAUCACAGGUCUCCUACCCUCAUAACCAACUCAGUAGGUGACUAAAAUACUCAAUGAGUCAACCAUCAAGAGACGGCACCCCCACUUAGGGUUGCUGGGGUGAUCAGGCCCAGAAACCCAAAGUUGGGGCUCCCAGGGGUGGAGCCUUUUACUCUUUAAAGAUUUCUUUGUUUCCCAGUUGCAAAGUUCAAAAGGAGAUGAAAAUGGCCAUUGUAACUCCAAGAGAGACAAAAGAAACGGGUCCA
rnacentral:lncRNA from 1 species